UCCAGACUCCUACGGGAGGCAGCAGUGGGGAAUAUUGCACAAUGGGGGAAACCCUGAUGCAGCGACGCCGCGUGAGCGAUGAAGUAUUUCGGUAUGUAAAGCUCUAUCAGCAGGGAAGAAGAUGACGGUACCUGACUAAGAAGCCCCGGCUAACUACGUGCCAGCAGCCGCGGUAAUACGUAGGGGGCAAGCGUUAUCCGGAUUUACUGGGUGUAAAGGGAGCGUAGGCGGCGCGUUAAGUCUGAUGUGAAAACCCGGGGCUCAACCACGGGAGUGCAUUGGAAACUGGCGGGCUGGAGUGCCGGAGAGGUAAGCGGAAUUCCUAGUGUAGCGGUGAAAUGCGUAGAUAUUAGGAGGAACACCAGUGGCGAAGGCGGCUUACUGGACGGCAACUGACGCUGAGGCUCGAAAGCGUGGGGAGCAAACAGGAUUAGAUACCCGUGUA
rnacentral:rRNA from 1 species